GAGGCGCGUCGCGGCGGCGGCGCAGGUGGGCGCAGGCGCGGAGGUGGGCUCUCUAGGGCCGCGCGGGAGCCCCGGGUCCGCACGCCGCGCGCGGAACACCUGGGGGCGGAGCCAAGACCGCGUCCCGCCCACUCCCGGGCGCGAAGCCCCCUCCCCGCGCCCCUCCCAUCGCGCCGCAGAGGCGCGCAGGUGCGUGAGGCCGCGCCCGCCCGGGACCCUGCAGACGUGGGCCAGCCAUGGAGCACAUCCGUACGCCCAAGGUUGAAAAUGUCCGCUUGGUAGAUCGAGUGUCUCCUAAAAAAGCAGCUCUAGGUACUUUGUAUUUGACGGCUACCCAUGUCAUAUUCGUGGAAAAUUCACCUGACCCAAGAAAAGAAACAUGGGUAUGCUUUCUUUAUUUUUAGCUUUCCUUGUUUUGCGUUGUUUGAAGCAAAAAGUGUUUGCCCUCCAUUCAUUUUUCCUCAGGGUGAGAUGGGUGGGCUUUUGUGCCUGGAUGUUGGGGAACU
rnacentral:lncRNA from 1 species